rnacentral:rRNA from 1 species
CACUAAUAUAACCCAACAAUGUUAAUAACAAAACAUGACCUAACACCAUAAACUAAACCAUUUUUUUACCUGAGUAUGGGAGACAGAAAAGGUUCAACCUAAGAGCAAUAGAGAAAGUACCGCAAGGGAAAGCUGAAAGAGAAAUGAAACAACCCAUAUAAGCACUAAAAACCAAAGACUAAACCUUGUACCUUUUGCAUCAUGAUUUAGCCAGCACCCUCAAGCAAAGAGACCUUUAGUUUGAAACCCCGAAACCAGGUGAGCUACCCCGAGACAGCCUAUUAAAAUUUAGGUUGCAUCAUGAUUUAGCCAGCACCCUCAAGCAAAGAGACCUUUAGUUUGAAACCCCGAAACCAGGUGAGCUACCCCGAGACAGCCUAUUAAAAUUUAGGGCUAACCCGUCUCUGUGGCAAAAGAGUGGGAAGAGCUCCGGGUAGAAGUGACAGACCUACCGAACCUGGUGAUAGCUGGUUGCCUGAGAAAUGGAUAGAAGUUCAGCCUCGUACACCCCAAAUCAAAAACAUAACAUUAAGACAACGGGAAACAUACGAGAGUUAGUUAAAGGGGGUACAGCCCCUCUAACAAAGGAUACAACCUUCACAGGAGGAUAAAGAUCAUAAUAUAUAAAACACACUGUUUUAGUGGGCCUAAAAGCAGCCAUCUAAAUAGAAAGCGUUAAAGCUCAGACAGAAAGAAGUUUAUUAUACUGAUAAAAAAAUCUUAUUCCCCUAACAAUAUCAGGCUAACCCAUGCCUACAUGGAAGAGAUUAUGCUAAAAUGAGUAACAAGAAGACCUGCUCUUCUCCAAGCACAAGUGUAAACCAGAUCGGACAAACCACUGGAAAUUAACGAACCCAACCCAAGAGAGUAAUGUGAACAACAAAAAAACCAAGAAAACCCCACAAUUAAACAAUCGUUAACCCCACACUGGAGUGCUAUUUUUAAAGGAAAGACUAAAAGAAAGGGAAGGAACUCGGCAAACACAAGCCUCGCCUGUUUACCAAAAACAUCGCCUCCUGCAACUAAACUGAGUAUAGGAGGUCCAGCCUGCCCAGUGACUACGGGUUCAACGGCCGCGGUAUUUUGACCGUGCAAAGGUAGCGCAAUCACUUGUCUUUUAAAUAGAGACCUGUAUGAAUGGCUAAACGAGGGCUUAACUGUCUCCCCCUUCAAGUCAGUGAAAUUGAUCUAUCCGUGCAGAAGCGGGUAUAACUAUACAAGACGAGAAGACCCUUUGGAGCUUAAGGUACAAAAUUCAACCACGUCAAGCAACUUAAUAAAAAGCAAGAACUUAGUGAAAAAUGAAACUUUACCUUCGGUUGGGGCGACCACGGAGGAAAAACAAGCCUCCGAGUGGAAUGGGCUAAACCCCUAAAACCAAGAGAGACAUCUCUAAGCCACAGAACAUCUGACCAAAAAUGAUCCGGCUAAUAAAGCCGAUCAACGGACCAAGUUACCCUAGGGAUAACAGCGCAAUCCUCUCCCAGAGUCCAUAUCGACGAGGGGGUUUACGACCUCGAUGUUGGAUCAGGACAUCCUAAUGGUGCAGCCGCUAUUAAGGGUUCGUUUGUUCAACGAUUAAAGUCCUACGUGAUCUGAGUUCAGACCGGAGCAAUCCAGGUCAGUUUCUAUCUGUAACGCUACUUUUCCUAGUACGAAAGGAUCGGAAAAGAGGGGCCUAUACUUAAAGCACGCCCCACCCCUAAUUAAUGAAAACAAAUAAAUUAAAUAAAGGGAGGGCCAAAA